GGGUCUCUAGGGCGUCUGCGCAGGAAGGUGCGUUGAGAUGGCAGUUGCCGGAGUUGGAGGCCGGGCGGCGACGAAAUUCCAUGGAAUUAUAGUUGGUCUACUCUGCAAUGUCUCUAUUUAAAAGCCCAAGUGAGGACAGACAAGAUGAACAACAUGAGAGAUAUCUGCAAGCCAACAACAAAGAAUUCAACAGUAUUUUUGGAUAUCCGAACAAUGCCAUCAAGACCUCAAAAUAUAGUGUCUUUAAUUUCCUGCCCCUGAACCUAUUUGAACAGUUCCAGAGACUUGCAAAUGCAUAUUUCCUCAUUUUGCUAUUUUUACAGUUGAUUCCCCAGAUCUCCUCCUUGACAUGGUAUACAACUAUAACACCCCUGAUGGUGGUGCUGUCCAUUAACAGCUGUGAAAGAUGCCAUCGAUGACCUGAAAAGGCAUCAAAGUGACGAUCGAGUCAACAACCAGCCUGUUCUGCUACUGGUGAAUGGCAAGAUAAAGGAGGACAAAUGGAUGAAUGUUCAAGUGGGAGAUAUAAUAAAACUAGAAAAUAAUCAGCCUGUCAUGGCAGAUAUACUAUUACUCUCUAGCAGUGAGCCAUAUAGUCUGACAUACAUAGAGACAGCAGACCUGGAUGGUGAAACCAACCUGAAAGUGAAGCAGGCCAUCUCAGUUACCAGUGACAUGGAAGAUCGCCUGGAGCUUCUGUCUACCUUUAAUGGAGAAGUGAGAUGUGAGGCUCCCAAUAACAAAUUGGACAAAUUCUCAGGAAUACUGACCUAUAAGGGGAAAAACUACUUCCUGGACCAUGACAAGCUGCUACUCUGAGGCUGCAACAUCAGGAAUACAGAUUGGUGCUAUGGCUUGGUGAUCUACACUGGGCCAGAUACCAAAUUAAUGCAGAAUAGUGGAAAGUCCACUUUUAAACGAACACAGAUAGACCAUCUCAUGAAUGUCCUUGUACUCUGGGCAUCGUGUGUUUUGUCCUAGCAGUUGGGCAUGGCAUUUGGCAGAACAAGAAAUGCUACCACUUCCAGAUUUUUCUGCCAUGGGUAAAAUAUGUCUCUUCAUCAGCUGUCUCUGCCAUCCUCAUAUUCUGGUCCUACUUCAUUAUUCUCAAUACCAUGGUGCCCAUUUCCCUCUAUGUCAGUGUUGAAAUAAUAAGAUUGGGCAACAGUUUAUAUAUCAACUGGGAUCGGAAGAUGUUUUAUGCACCAAGGAACACACCAGCACAGGUGAUACUUAUGACAAGGAUGGACAGAGGGUGACGGUCUCUGAGACAGUUUAUGAGACCUGGUUUAUCACAUGCUACAGUCUGGUCUACACUUCCCUCCCUGUCCUGUGCAUGAGUCUGUUUGAUCAGUAACCCAUAAGGAAGCUCCUAGGCAGCCUGGCAGCAGACCUGGUGAGGGGAGAAGCCUCUACUCUGAUGGAGAUGGGACCUUCUAUGGAGAGACCCUGAGCCUCCCUCCUUACCCUCGGGUGCUUCCAGGAUGUGAAUGAGACAUGGAGCCUCCAUUUCCCAGAGCUGUAUGAGCCAGGCCAGCACAACCUCUAUUUCAACAAGAAAGAAUUUGUGAAGUGUUUAAUGCAUGGGAUCUACAGUUCCUUCGUGUUGUUCUUUGUCCCCAUGGGGGCUCUUUACAAUGCAGAACGAAAUGAUGGGAAGGACAUCUCCGACUACCAGUCCUUCUCCCUGGUGGUGCAGACCUCCUUGAUCUGGGUGGUCGCAAUGCAGGUGUGGUCAGGAAUUCUCUGAACCAGCCGCAAAUGCUGCUGAGCAUUAUCCUCAGUGUGGUCCUCUGUAUGUUGCCUGUGAUUGGGCACCAAUUUCUUAAACCACUAUUCUGGCCUAUCAGCAUGGACAAAGUUUUUGACAGAAUUCAAGAGUGCAGGAGACUUCCACAGCAGUCCCCAGUCUGGACCAAACUGAAACACUCAAGCACUCGACGUUCUGCCUAUGCAUUCUCCCAUAAACAAGGCUUUGGGGCCCUCAUCACUUCUGGCAAGAUAGUGAAGCCCAGGAUGUCCAAGAGAAACACCCUUUUUUUGAAAAAGAUAGAGGCCCUAGGGAAAUUCCAAAGGAGGCAGUCAGUGCUCUUCCUCCCUCGUACUCAUGCAACUUAGGAAGAAUUAGAGUCCCUGGGAAACCAGCAUAAACCUGCUCCUUCAUUCUCACUAGGGACUAAGCCUCUUAAUUGUCCAGAAGGCUAUUCCCAGAAAGGCAAGGAGGGGUAAGGAAAGAGCCCCCAGAUAUCUGCCAGAGUUGCAGCAUUUCAAGAAAAAGAAAAAAAAAGCAACCUCAGGCCUGCCUCCCACCAUCUCUUGCAAGUUUUAAUCCAGACAAGCAUAUGUAGAGGUAGGGGGUGACAAGAGACAGUAUGGGGAAGGGAAAAGAAGAUGGAACCUAAGAAUUUUACUUUGGGCCCUAUCUCCUAUACUCAGAGCAAGCAUAAACCUUCCCAGGGCCCUACACAAACAUAUUCCCAUCGAGGCAUCACAUAAAAUAAAAUCAACCAUUUAAAAAGGUAUAAUUUAGUGACAAUUACUUCCCAUUUAUAAGCAAGGGAUGCAUGAGUGCUACCCAUAGACCGGAUAUGGGCCAUGUCUUUAGCGUUUCUUGAUCUCGUUAGAUAAAUUAUCUGAAAUUUUGAGGAGACUUCAGCAGAAAGAAGCAGGGGAUAUGCUGUCAAAUGCCUGUGGAUUUAUACUAAGAAAGAAAGAAGGGGCAUAAGGAAAAUUUUCUUUAUCUCGAUUUUGGAGGUGGUUACAUGGGUAUGUAUUUGUCAAAAUUCAUUGACCUGUAUACUUAAGAUUUAUACAUUUUAUUUUAUGUAAACUAUAUCUCAAUAAAGUUGAGUUUUUUAAUGUCUAGAAA
ensembl:lncRNA ATP8B5P ATPase phospholipid transporting 8B5, pseudogene